rnacentral:rRNA from 1 species
GGACUACCGGGGUAUCUAAUCCCGUUUGCUCCCCUGGCUUUCGUGUUUCAGAGUCAGGAAUCUUCCAGGUAUCCGCCUUCGCCACCGGUGUUCCUUAUGAUAUCUACGCAUUUCACUGCUACACCAUAAAUUCCGAUACCCCCUCCGAUCCUCUAGCCGGGCAGUAUCAAGCGCAGUUUCAGAGUUAAGCUCUGAGAUUUCACACCUGACUUACCCGACCUCCUACACACCCUUUACGCCCAAUGAAUCCGAACAACGCUCGGGACCUCUGUCUUACCGCGGCUGCUGGCAC